CAUACACAUUGGUUGCUUUUUCUUCAGUACUCUCAAGAACUGUAAUGAUCCACCAUUCACACUUGGAAGUCAUCAACUUUCACGGACCAAAUUGUCAGCUCCUAACAUCCAAACAGUUGGUUGGAGUGAUGUGCAUCGCCAAUUGCAACAUGUCAAGCAAUUGUUGACUUUGCAAUGCUUGAAGGAUCUGAAUGGGGCAAGAAUUGCAGUGAAGUCGUUGUAGUGGUUUUUGUUAACCAGGUCUAUUUUUUGACCCAGGAAGUGUUGGAAUUCAUGGAGAGUAAAGACGCGGAAUCCAAGAAUCUAAUAAGAAAUGCGCUUUCGGAUGUGAAAAAAUUUGCUUCCGCAGUAAGCUGACGUCUAGAUUGGUUCCGCGCGGAAUGAGAGAGGUGAUCAUACAUCGAAGCUUUGAGCCAAAGAAUUCCAUUCUCGAACUGCAACAAGAUGGAAACUGGUGUGUAGAUGCUCACGCGGUCACUGACGAACCCAUCUCGAUCAGGACUUUUCCAACGUAGGAAGCUGCUUUUGCCCUUUGGUGAUGUCAAUGGCACUACCUGCUUCAAAAUGAAAGCCUCACAUAUCAUCUACAUAGACUUCUGACUAAGCUUACUAAAGAGUUUCAGUCUUAACCUCUCGAUCUGGUGUGUCUAAUCGAUUACGACGCUUACAUCGAGAGUACUCCACUUCAGUGGUUUGUAGUGAAGAAGAUGGCAUCCUUACGUGUCCUUGCAGAUGUUCAAUGAGGACCUAAGUCGCAAAAUUUCAUGCAUGUUUAAUGUUAUUGAAAACAGGAAACCAUGUUCAACCCUACACAUGGCAGCUCGGUUCGCAUGUGGGGUGAUGGUGCGUUGUGCUGCUAGUGAUGACGCUGACUUGCAAAUGGGACACGUUACUCAUUUUGCGUAAUGUUGCCGAGUUUGCCAAACCCUAAUCAAUUUGGCCCAUCUGCAGAAUUUACGAUUUUGGACUCAGUACAGGACCUGGCGUCUUUCGUCCAAUCUGUACGAGAACCUGCGAGCUUGAUCCACCGCUAUGACUAACAGUGGAGGCGAGUGGAUAGCCAGUUUGAGUCGCCUCUUUUCGAAGCCAAUCCAUGUCAAUUGUUGUUUUAGGGUUACGUUUCCUCGUUGACAUAAGACAGUUCUGCGACAUUUGAUAGUAACUUGGUGAUUUCAAUCACAAAUAGAUGCUUUCUACGGAUUGAAUGGAGGUACAAAAUGAUAGACACAUUUCAAUGCUAUCAAUUGAUUAAUUGUUACCUAUCUUACAGUCCUUUAGGGUUAUGUAACAGGUGACAACUGUGUCGAGUUUCAGGGUUUUUAGGUUUAGGGUUUCCACCGGCAGUAAAUCGAGUCAGAACCAGCAUCGCCUAUUGUCGUCUUCAAAGCGCCUGCUCUGCUCUCAUAGUGUGCAUAUAAUGAGCAUCUCUCGAUUUGACUGCAAUGUUCCGUGUUGCUUUAACGUUGGGUCAGGUGUUGUAGUUGUAUCUCCUUCGUUCAAAUGUCUUUGCUGCAUCAAUGAGAUGUGACCGCCGUCAAGGGUAGUUCAAUGUGGUCCUUUCCGGUCACCAAGAUUUUCGUCUAA